rnacentral:rRNA from 1 species
GACGUAGGGCGCGAGCGUUGUCCGGAUUUAUUGGGCGUAAAGAGCUCGUAGGCGGCUUGUCGCGUCGAAUGUGAAAACCCGAGGCUCAACUUCGGGCUUGCAUUCGAUACGGGCAGGCUAGAGUUCGGUAGGGGAGACUGGAAUUCCUGGUGUAGCGGUGAAAUGCGUAGAUAUCAGGAGGAACACCGGUGGCGAAGGCGGGUCUCUGGGCAGCAACUGACGCUGAGGCACGAAGGCCAGGGGAGCAAACGGG